UUGCUUUGGCAGCACACAUACUAAAAUUGAAAUGAUACAGAGAAGAUUAGCAUGGCCCCUGAACAAGGAUGACAUGAAAGUUUGUGAAGCAUUUCAUACUUUU